GUUUGAUCCUGGCUCAGGACGAACGCUGGCGGCGUGCCUAACACAUGCAAGUCGAACGAGGUCCAUCCAGUGGCAACACUGGGGACGACCUAGUGGCGAACGGGUGAGUAACACGUGAGGAACUUGCCCCGGAGACCGGGAUAGCCCUCCGAAAGGAGGGCUAAUACCGGAUGUCCCCACCGAGUCGCAUGGCUUGGUGAGGAAAUGGAUUCCGCUCCGGGAGAGCCUCGCGGCCUAUCAGCUAGUUGGUGGGGUAACGGCCCACCAAGGCAUCGACGGGUAGCUGGUCUGAGAGGACGAUCAGCCACACUGGGACUGAGACACGGCCCAGACUCCUACGGGAGGCAGCAGUGGGGAAUCUUGCGCAAUGGGCGAAAGCCUGACGCAGCAACGCCGCGUGCGGGAUGAAGGCCCUCGGGUUGUAAACCGCUUUCAGUGGGGACGAACCAAGACGGUACCCACAGAAGAAGCCCCGGCCAACUACGUGCCAGCAGCCGCGGUAACACGUAGGGGGCGAGCGUUGUCCGGAUUCAUUGGGCGUAAAGAGCUCGUAGGCGGUUCGGUAAGUCGGGUGUGAAACCUCCGGGCUCAACCUGGAGACGCCACCCGAUACUGCUGUGACUAGAGUCCAGUAGGGGAGCGUGGAAUUCCUGGUGUAGCGGUGAAAUGCGCAGAUAUCAGGAGGAACACCAGUGGCGAAGGCGGCGCUCUGGGCUGGAACUGACGCUGAGGAGCGAAAGCGUGGGGAGCGAACAGGAUUAGAUACCCUGGUAGUCCACGCCGUAAACGUUGGGUACUAGGUGUGGGGUCUUAUCAACGGAUUCCGUGCCGAAGCUAACGCAUUAAGUACCCCGCCUGGGGUGUACGGCCGCAAGGCUAAAACUCAAAGGAAUUGACGG
rnacentral:rRNA from 1 species